rnacentral:rRNA from 1 species
GACGUAGGGCGCGAGCGUUGUCCGGAUUUAUUGGGCGUAAAGAGCUCGUAGGCGGCUUGUCGCGUCGACUGUGAAAACCCGUGGCUCAACCAUGUGGUCUGCAGUCGAUACGGGCAGGCUAGAAUUCGGUAGGGGAGACUGGAAUUCUCGGUGUAGCAGUGAAAUGCGUAGAGAUCGAGAGGAACACCAGUGGCGAAGGCGAGUUUCUGGUCUGUAACUGACACUGAGGCGCGAAAGCGUGGGGAGCGAACAGG